rnacentral:lncRNA from 1 species
ACAAGCUUAGUACCUUUCAAUUUGAAUAACUUCUAUUACAAAACUCCAAUUAAGCUAAAUUUUGGUUUGGGAGCUCCUAGCUCAUCCAGAAACAAGUGUGUCUUGGUUGCAACCCAAUUGCUAUUCAAUUCUAAGAGUUACAAGCAUUGGAGGUUGAUGCAUAGCUUGCUGAAAUCUGUUUCUUUUCAGCUUUGUCCACCAAUAUUCAAAAAUUCACAACUCCCAAUCCUUAACUCCUAAAAUUCUUAAGUUUUAG